rnacentral:rRNA from 1 species
UACGGGGGGGGCAAGCGUUGUUCGGAAUUACUGGGCGUAAAGGGCUCGUAGGCGGCCAACUAAGUCGGAUGUGAAAUCCCCAGGCUCAACCUGGGAACUGCAUCCGAUACUGGAUGGCUUGAAUCCGGGAGAGGGAUGCAGAAUUCCAGGUGUAGCGGUGAAAUGCGUAGAUAUCUGGAGGAAUACCGGUGGCGAAGGCGGCAUCCUGGACCGGCAUUGACGCUGAGGAGCGAAAAGCUAGGGGAGCAAACGGGG